CCUACGGGUGGCUGCAGUGGGGAAUAUUGGACAAUGGGCGAAAGCCUGAUCCAGCCAUGCCGUGUGUGUGAAGAAGGCCUUCGGGUUGUAAAGCACUUUCAGUGGGGAAGAAAGCCUUGGGGCUAAUACCCUCGAGGAAGGACAUCACCCACAGAAGAAGCACCGGCUAACUCCGUGCCAGCAGCCGCGGUAAUACGGAGGGUGCGAGCGUUAAUCGGAAUUACUGGGCGUAAAGCGCGCGUAGGCGGUCUGAUAAGCCGGUUGUGAAAGCCCCGGGCUCAACCUGGGAACGGCAUCCGGAACGUUCAGGGUAGGGGGCAGGAGAGGAAGGUAGAAUUCCCGGGGUAGCGGGGAAAUGCGUAGAGAUCGGGAGGAAUACCAGGGGCGAAGGCGGCCUUCUGGACUGACACUGACGCUGGGGUGCGAAAGCGUGGGUAGCAAACAGGAUUAGAUACCCUGUAGUC
rnacentral:rRNA from 1 species